rnacentral:lncRNA from 1 species
CUAUCUGAAUCUUUCUCACAACAAACUAAUAGGCGGUCUUGAGCAACUGCCUUGGGGUUAUAUUAAUUAUCUUGAUCUCCAAGACAAUAAGCUGAAUGGAUCGUUGCCCACCUUGAUGUGUAAUUCCAGCUCUCUUGAGAUUCUAAAUCUCUCUCACAACAAUUUGAGUGGUGUACUCCCCAUUUGUCAUACAAAUUUGACUCAGCUUUCGGUGUUGGAUCUGCGGAGGAAUAAAAUUCAAGGAAACAUUCCAGCAACCUUGUCAAAUUUCCAUAAUCUGGAAACCAUUAAUAUGAAUGGAAACCAAUUACAAGGAAGCAUUCCUUCUUCAUUUGCUGAAUUUGAUUCUUUAGCCGUUCUUGAUCUUGGAAAUAAUCAGAUAAAUGAUACAUUCCCCCGGUGUUUGGAAGCUCUUCCAAAUCUCCAAGUUCUUGUUCUCAAAUCUAACAAGUUUUGUGGUCUUAUAAACACGAGUUCUAAGAUUGUACACCCAUUUCCUAGCUUGAGAAUCAUUGAUCUGUCGGACAAUGAGUUUUCAGGUCCACUGCCAGCAAAAUACUUCAGAAACUUCAAGGCUAUAAUGAAUAGUGAUGUAAGCAAAAUAGAUCGUAGUUAUAUGAAUCAUAGUUUCUAUUACAGUGAUUCCACGGCUCUGGUGAUUAAAGGAGUAGUCAUAGAGUUGGUAAAGAUAUUAACUAUUUUUACAACCAUGGAUGUGUCAAGGAACCAGUUUGAAGGGGAGAUUGUAGAAUCAAUUGGAAAUCUGGUGUCACUUAGAUAUCUCAAUUUAUCACAUAAUCAUCUCAGAGGCCACAUACCACGGUCGAUUGGAAAAUUGACUGUGCUGGAGUCACUAGACCUCUCAUCCAAUGAACUUGAAGGAGAAAUUCCUCCGCAACUCACUGGUUUAUAUUCACUUGCAGUUCUAAAUCUUUCUUGCAACCAACUUAGAGGCCGUAUACCAGAAGGGUCACAAUUCAAUACGUUUGAAAUCUACAGCUACGCCGGGAACUUUGAAUUGUGUGGAAAACCCUUGUCAAAAAAGUGUGAAAAUUAUGUGAGGGUACACAAAGAAGACGAAGAAGAUGAGGAUGAAUAUUACUUUUUCAGUGGUUUUACAUGGGAAGCGGUGGUGAUUGGAUAUGGGUUUGGAGUGGUGCCUGCAUUUAUCGCCGGGUACUUGAUGUUGCUGGCACGGAAACCAAAAUGGUUUGCUGGAAUCAUUGGCAGGGAAUUGGGCCUCAAGAUCAGGAGGAUGGAGAUUAGAAUGCGAUAACUACAGGUUUGGUGUAAUCUGUAUCCCAUUCCCAGGUCUUGAAAAUUCUGUAAUAAUAUAGUAAUAUCUGCUCUCAUAUAAUUCUAUAUUUGCAGAUUCAGAUGGGACAAGCAGGAUUCAGAUGCAUUGCAUUGGAUUCAGAUGGGACAAGCAGGAUACAAGUUAUGUAGUAUUGUUUUGUUCCAGCUCUUAUCUGAUCUGCAAUCAAGUUAAUGAACCACUACCUCAGUUGUUAAGCAUCUUUCAGCAUUUUAAUUUUACAACUCACAAUAAAAGAUUACAUGUGUAUUAAUCUGAUCAUCAUUGGUUUAGAUCAAUAUAGAAGUUCGGCUUUGUUUAUUUCUAUCCCGGGCUCCUCAUUUUUAGAACAUAUUUGUUGAUACUUUUUAUGGAACGGUUAAGAAUAUUCCAUAGAUUUUUAUAUUCAGUGCUAGAUGAUUUUAUGUCCUGUUUUCAUUCCAAUUUCCGUUCAUGAACUAAUUAAAAAUCUGAAAGUGGGUCAUAUCUGGCAGUGAUGCCCACCUUUCUGGACCUGAAUUUCAUGACCACACAAACUCCAAUUCUGCCCAAAAAUUGCAGCUGUUUCGUAAAAUAUUUUUACGUGCUCUUUUGUUUGGACUUGUUUGCUGGACCAUGCAUAUGUUUUGAUACAAACAUCUUCGUGUAUGUUAACACUCUUGUGUCAGUUUCUGGACUCAUUGUUAGUAGCCCAUUCUUUACGGCAGACAUUGAAUUGGAUUUACUUGAAGAAAUGAAGGUUUAAGAAAGUUGAGAACAAUUUGUUGAUAAUUUCCUUCCCUAGAAACUGCACUCCAGCAUCAAAGUACCUUUCAAAGACUCCAGACAUCAUCUCUUGAUUAUCGAAGACUUGGUCUUGCAUAUACUGAUAUACAGUGAAUAUAGAUUUCUUUCAUUUCCUUGAAAUUGCAUUUUUGGAAGUAGCUCUCCAGACUCAUUCCCGUCACUUCUUAAAGUCUUAUUCCUCCUCAAUACUACAUACACGUAAUAUCACACCACUUUGCUCAUGCUCAGAUGGGUUUUUCUUACAAACCACAUAUGUUCACUUCUCAGAGUCUUAGUCCUCGUCAAUGUAUAGAGAUAAUAUCUCACCAUUUGCUAGUGCUACAAAUGGGCUUCUCCUACAACCACACAUAAUCGGAGAAAAGUCUGUCAAGUGUCAAGUGGACUUGAAAGACCCUUGUGCAUGGAUUAUUGUAUGUCAUGAAUGCCUUCUGAUAUCCCUGAAAGUGCAAGCAAGUUAUAAAAGUAGCUGGGCAGACUCUUUCUCAUCAAUACAUUCACAUUUAAAGCGGGCGUUGAUAUGCCUCCCUAAUUUUCUAAUGCCCUAGACGGAAUUCUAUUACAAUCCACAUAUGAUGGGUAGCGAUCAUCAAUUCAAAGAAGAGACUAUCAGCAGCUUGCAGGAAAUGUCCCCUCUGCAUGGAUUAUCGAAGAAAGGAACUUAUACCUAUAAAGAUGUAGAAAACCAAUGGUAAGCAUAACUGCAUAUAAGAUACAAAACUAAAUUUAAUACAAGACUCGUUCUGAGCAUUGGAAAAUAUAAUUCAUCCUGGUCUUCGUCUUCUACUUCUCCAAAUAUGCUUUUAUUGCAGCCAAUGUAUUAGUGAAAAGAAUUAAAUUUAAAUUAAUUGUAGACCGCAAAUAUAAGAUUAGGAGAGUUUCUACAACCCACAAAUUAGUAGACAGACUAAUAUGGUUAGUUGAGACCAUCAAUCUGGAGAAACUGUUUCUACAAUGACCCAUAUGUAUGAAUUAUUGAAGAAAGAAACUUAUACCUACAAUGUAAAGGAAAUGGUCACGAGUAUAUUGCAUUUUUAAUCCAAAUUGUAUAUGAUUCUCUCUGUGCUACUGAUAGUUAAUAAUAAAUCUACAACGGAACUUGCAGUUAAUCAAGGUAUUUAAGUCUACCUUUCUACAUUGUUGAAUAGUUUGAAUUAAAUAAUUGUAAUAAAUUUUUUGCUGGAUGCUGUGUGAGUUUACCAGAGCUUAUCACGGUGAGAAGUUCACUAAAGCUCUUGGAAUUAGUAAAUAAAAACUCAGGGCAGUGAAUUAGAAGUCUGAGUACAAGGCAAUGAGCAGGAAACAACAUAGGGAGUUUACAACUAGAAGUAUCUAUUCUCCCCCAGUCUUUUUGUGAACAUCAAGAGGCCAUUCAUAUUGCUCACAAACCAGUUAAAAGUGGCAGGACUACACAUAAUGAAUCACACAGUCACUUUAUGUGAGAAAAGAAAAUUGUCAGGACUGCAAUGCAUUUCUAGCCCAUUUUGUACAGCAGCUCAAACGUUUAAAAAACUUCAUUAAUUAUUUUCUUUUAUUGAAACCACACUCAUCCAUCAAAGUAGCUCUCAAAGUCUAAUUUCCAUCACCUUCUGAUUCUCAAAGUCUUCUUCUUCGUCUUAUAUUGCACGCCACAUAUUAGUAGACAUACUACAUCAACUCUGUAGAAAGAAACAAUCUAUAGUAGUUGAUGUACAAUGUUAUUAUGUAAAUGUAUAAUAUCAAAAUUAGGAAUAGAAAUCACGCCCUAAUAAUUAACCCUCUGCAGGGGUUAUUAAAGAAAGCAGCUUAUAACUUUAGUUGCUGAACAUUUGUGUGGGCCAAAUUCAAUUUUACACAUCAUUACUAGAUUUACACAUGGUAUUAGACAUCAGUACUAGUAUAAGAUGUUAAUCAAGUUUUGGAAUUUCUUUUAUUUCAGAAAACAAGUUUUUAACUCUCUUUUUUUUUUGUGGUAUUAAUUAUUUAUAUCACGCAUUUGAGCUUUAAAAUUAGCUCUAAAUAAAAGUUGAUUUUCGCUCAAAGAAACAAUGAUGUAUAAGAAGAUUUUCAGAACUGAAUUAUUUCUUUCCAUUUUUACAGUUCCAUUCAAGAACCGAAAGCAGCUCACAAAGACUCACUACAUCAUCUUUCAAUUCUCAUAGUGUUGGUCUUUGUCUUCUGCUGCUCAAAAAUUCUAUUACAGCCCACAUAUCAGUAUCAUAUACCUAAUUAUAAAUAGUAUUUAACACUUAACACCAUUAAAGAUUUGUCUCAGAGACUUACUUCCAUCACCUUAUGGUUCUCAAACUCUUCGUCUUCUAAUGCUCCAAAAGUUCUAUUAGUGCAGGCCACAUAUUGGUAAACAGACUACAAUUCAUCCAAAAUGACCCUCUUAUUGGACACUUUGAACACCUCUGUCUGUAUAUGCAUUGGAGAAGAAUUAUCAGCUCGUUAAAAUAACCUCUUCGCAUCAACUCUAUGGAAAGAAGCAAUUCAUACCUAAAGUACAAUGUUUGGAUAAAAUUAGGGAUAGCAACCGCACGCUAAUUUUUUAGUUGAAGCAGGCUACCUUAGUGUAAUUAACUGAACAUCCCCGUAAUUUCUUGACAGGCCACAAUUAAGGAAGUUUACAGAAUUACAUUCCAGAAGUAGCUCCCUGAGACAGAUUCGCAUCAUCUUUCAAUCUUCAAAGUUCUUUAUACUUAUAUUAUAUUUCAUGUUUUAUUGUAAUGAACAUAGCAGUUUCCUGUUCAGUAAUAUUCCAGGCUCAGGUUCUUCAUUCCAAGUCUCUGUUACAUGUUUGCUACUAAAACGUAUUAAACAGUUAUUAGUUUAUGACUGUAUUCCAUCUUGAAAGGAGAUCUCAAAGACUCAUUCCCAUAAUCUUCAGAAUCUCAAGUCUUGAUGAACUUGGCCUUCAUCAUAUUUGUACUCUUGUAAUUCCAUAUUAAUCAAGUUUAAAUAUUAAAAUUUUUAAUUUUAGUAAAUUUGUAAAAAUAGUAAAAUUUGUCUUAUUUAUAAUAUUUAUAAAUCUCUUACUUUCCUGUUACUGUAUUCAACUUAAUAAUUUUUACAAACACUGUGCAUCACAUAAGUUAUGUAAAUUUAGAACAAAUUAUGUCCAAUUUAUUUAAGAGAGAUUGUUAUAUUGUUUUUACUUUAAAAUUAAUGGUAUCUUUUAUUUUUAAUAUAAUUUACAGCUAAAAAUAUUUGAUAUAUUUUCACACUGCUUCUUAUUUUUGUAAUAUGACUAAACAUAUCUUAAAUACACUUUUUUCCUAUAUAUAUGCUAGCCUCUCGAGAUGUUGAAUAGAUCAUCCCAAACAAAAAAAUUUAAGGGAAAUAGAAAAUGAGGAAUUCCAUCCUCUGUUUUUCCACCAUCAGUUUGUUGCUCAUCUUCCUGCAGUUGCAGCACAACCUAGUGGCUUCUUCAUUAAGUCCCCACUUGCAGAAACUUGCCUUGUUCCACUUUAACCAAACCUUAACAAUCAGUACUACUAGCUGGGAUUGCGAGUACUAUUCCUACGAUGGAUAUUACGAAAUUCCUUCACGGGCAAAGACAAAGAAUUGGAGCAUGAGUUCCGAUCACUGCACAUGGGAGGGAGUUAGCUGCGACGACAAGACAGGGGACGUUAUCGGACUGGAUUUAAGUUGCAGUCAGCUGGAAGGAGCCAUUCUUUCUAACAGCACCCUCUUCCAGCUCUCUCAACUCCGCUUCCUCAAUCUUUCUCACAACGGCUUUUACAAUCAGUUCCCUCAGGAAUUUGGUUUCUUUGCAAAAGGUUUGACGCAUCUCAAUCUCUCUCGUACUGGAUUAUCAGGGAGAGUUCCCUCUGGAAUCUCUCAUUUGUAUAAACUGGUCUCACUUGAUCUCGGUCGCAACUAUAGGGCUUGGGCUAAACUUGAAGAAGAAGUGUUUAAAUCACUGUUGCAGAAUUUAACUCAUCUUGAAGUGCUUAAUCUUGAAGGGGUUAGCAUCUCCUCUGUUUUGCCCCUGAAUAUCUCUACUUCUUUAAGAUUUCUUGCUCUUGCGGGAACUGAAAUACACGGAGUAGUACCUCAAGAGGUUUUCCACCUUCCCAACUUGGAAUUUCUUCGUUUAUCAUAUAAUGACCACCUGAGAGUAACAUUACCCAAAGUUAAGUGGGGAAGUAGUGCUACUCUCCAACACCUUCAACUUUCAGGCGUCAACAUAGAUGGAGGUAUGCCUGACUCAAUAGGCUUUUUGGAGUCAUUAGUCAGUUUACAUCUGAUCCAGUGUAAUUUGUCUGGGCCGAUACCAAAAUUCAUUGGGCAACUCGUUCAACUUACUCACUUGGGCCUGGCUGCUAAUAAUCUCAGUGGCCCAAUUCUAACUUUUUUAACACGCCUUGCAGACUUCAGAUCUAUCUUCCCUUGAGCAUAACAAUUUUACUGGUCCGUUUCCCUCUUUUCUUGCCCACUCCAGUAAACUAGUUGAGUUGUAUCUUCAUAAUAAUAGCUUUACUGGAUCCCUACCUCGUUCGUUGUUUCACCAUCCAUCCUUAGAGAUCUUGAAUCUGGCAUAUAAUGCAUUCACGGGUCCACUACAUGAAUUUCAUUCUUCUUUGUCACGAUUGCGAUCUUUUUAUUGUUCCAGCAAUUUACUCAAUGGAUCCAUUCCACAUUCAUUUUCUCAACUUGUGAAUCUCACUGAACUAGAUCUUUCAUCAAACAAUUUCACCGGGGUUUUGGAUUUGGAAAUGUUUUCAGGCCUCAAAUCUCUAGGAAUUCUUCAUCUUUCUUAUAAUAGUCUUUCAGUGAGAACUACAACUAUGGCCACUCUCCCUCCUACGCUUAACGACUUGGCCUUGUCAUCUUGCAACAUGAAAGAGUUUCCUCACUUUUCAAGAGAUGCAAACAUCUUCCUCGAUUUUGUAGACCUAUCAAACAACAAAAUUGAAGGGGAAAUUCCACACUGGAUUGGGUCGGUGGGGAGGUACCCUUUCUAUCCAAUCCAUUAUCUGAAUCUUUCUCACAACGGACUAAUAUGCGGUCUUGAGCAACUGCCUUGGAGUCAUGUUGAAUUUCUUGAUCUCCAAUACAAUAAGCUGAAUGGAUCAUUGCCCACCUUGAUGUGUAAUUCCAGCUCUCUCCGGGUUCUAAAUCUCUCUCACAACAAGUUGAGUGGUGUACUCCCCAUUUGCCAUACAAAUUUGACUUCGCUUCGCGUGUUGGAUCUGCGGAGGAAUAAAAUUCAAGGAAACAUUCCAGCAACCUUGUCAAAUUUCCGUAAC